GGGAUUGUAGUUCAAGCGGUUAGAGCACCGCCCUGUCAAGGCGGAAGCUGCGGGUUCGAGCCCCGUCAGUCCCG
rnacentral:tRNA from 1 species